rnacentral:rRNA from 1 species
AGUGAACGCUGGCGGUAGGCCUAACACAUGCAAGUCGAACGGCAGCACAGUAAGAGCUUGCUCUUACGGGUGGCGAGUGGCGGACGGGUGAGGAAUACAUCGGAAUCUACUUUUUCGUGGGGGAGAACGUAGGGAAACUUACGCUAAUACCGCAUACGACCUACGGGUGAAAGCAGGGGAUCUUCGGACCUUGCGCGAUUGAAUGAGCCGAUGUCGGAGUAGCUAGUUGGCGGGGUAAAGGCCCACCAAGGAGACGAUCCGUAGCUGGUCUGAGAGGAUGAAGAGACACACUGUAAGUGAGACACGGUCCAGACUCCUACUGGGAGAAGCAGUGGAGAAUAUUGGACAAAAGGCGCAAGCCUUAUCCAACAAUGCCGGGUAGGUGGAGAAGGCCUUCGGGUUGUAACGACGAUUUGUUGGGAAUGAAAAGCAGCAGGCUGAAGCGAAGAUGUUAUGACGGUACCUGAAGAAUAAGCGACGGCUAAAUACGUG